rnacentral:rRNA from 1 species
AACGAACGCUGGCGGCACGUUUUAAGCAUGCAAGUCGAACGGCAGUGGGGGCAACCCCAUGAGAGUGGCGAACGGGUGAGUAACACGUAGGUGAUCUGCCUUUGGGUUGGGGAUAGCUUGUGGAAACACAGGGUAAUACCGAAUGAGCUGACGAGGCUUUGGCCAUGUUAGUAAAGGUGCUACGGCACCGCCUAGAGAGGAGCCUGCGGCUGAUUAGCUAGGUGGUGGGGUAAAGGCCUACCAAGGCGACGAUCAGUAGCCGGCCUGGGAGGGUGUACGGCCACACUGGAACUGAGACACGGUCCAGACUCCUACGGGAGGCAGCAGCUAAGAAUCUUCCGCAAUGGGCGAAAGCCUGACGGAGCGAUGCCGCGUGAUCGAUGAAGGUCGAGAGAUUGUAAAGAUCUUUUCCAACUGAGGAAUAAGUGGACCAGGGAAUGGGUUCAUGAUGACGUUAAGUUGGGAAUAAGCCCCGACUAAUUACGUGCCAGCAGCCGCCGUAA